rnacentral:rRNA from 1 species
AUUGAACGCUGGCGGCAGGCCUAACACAUGCAAGUCGAGCGGAUGACGGGAGCUUGCUCCUUGAUUCAGCGGCGGACGGGUGAGUAAUGCCUAGGAAUCUGCCUGGUAGUGGGGGACAACGUUUCGAAAGGAACGCUAAUACCGCAUACGUCCUACGGGAGAAAGCAGGGGACCUUCGGGCCUUGCGCUAUCAGAUGAGCCUAGGUCGGAUUAGCUAGUAGGUGAGGUAAUGGCUCACCUAGGCGACGAUCCGUAACUGGUCUGAGAGGAUGAUCAGUCACACUGGAACUGAGACACGGUCCAGACUCCGACGGGAGGCAGCAGUGGGGAAUAUUGGACAAUGGACGAAAGCCUGAUCCAGCCAUGCCGCGUGUGUGAAGAAGGUCUUCGGAUUGUAAAGCACUUUAAGUUGGGAGGAAGGGCAGUAAGCUAAUACCUUGCUGUUUUGACGUUACCGACAGAAUAAGCACCGGCUAACUCUGUGCCAGCAGCCGCGGUAAUAC